UACGUAGGGGGCAAGCGUUGUCCGGAUUAUUGGGCGUAAAGAGCUCGUAGGCGGUGUGUCGCGUCGGCCGUGAAAACCUGCAGCUUAACUGUGGGCUUGCGGUCGAUACGGGCAUCACUGGAGUUCGGCAGGGGAGACUGGAAUUCCUGGUGUAGCGGUGAAAUGCGCAGAUAUCAGGAGGAACACCGGUGGCGAAGGCGGGUCUCUGGGCCG
rnacentral:rRNA from 1 species